CGACGCGAAGUUGUCAACUGAGCCUGCGCGGAGAAGCCCCUACAGCCGCGCUGAACUGUAGUGCGCCGCCCAUCCAGAAGUAAGGAGAGCGGGAGUGAGACAAUACUUCAGAAAGCUGCAUCGAGCCCACUUCCGCCGUCCUCGUCACCGCGGAGGAACUUCCGGCAGUGACUUCGCAAGCCCUCCGCAGUUUUUAUAAGGGCCCACUGUGAACUGAGUUAAUUCUGCAGUUGCUAAGAGUCCUCUGUUUCAGCUUGGUUCUACGUAAAACUCAGUGUUAAAAACAAACGCUAACGAAGAAAAGAGGAAUCCACUCUUCAACCUAAUUCACGUCCCUAGGUCAGAGAAGAGACCUUUCAGUCAUAGAUGUCCCUGAGCUGGACACAAGGGUCCAGAUAACAUGUUCCGUGGAGUGGAAGGUCUAAGACCAGUGUCAAGUUUACUUGAUGCUAAUACAUAUAUUAUUAUAUAGAGUAGGUGGGGAGGUGGCAAAAUCUCAUGCAGUUUCCACGGAUGACCUUGAAAUUCUAAAGCACUUGUUUUUGUCCUUAGUGCUGGGAUUACAGCCCUGCCCCCCACGAUAUCUGCUUUAGGCUAAAGAAUCUGAAACUACAGCGACGCCGGAUUGAGCCAGUUGCUGAGAGUUGGAGAGGAGGCCAGCUUCAAAGCAUUUCUGAUAAUCUACCCACACAGAUUACAGAAGGAAAAUCCUGAGUCUCCCAGUUUCCAGCUGUUUUGUGGCUGGGGAUAUAUAAUACAGUGCUAGAAUACUUGCAGGCUCAAGACCUCAGAUUGGAUCCCCAACACCUCAAAAUUGUCAGAAUUUUCAAAUUUCGCUUAUCUGUACCCUCUUUUUAAAAGGUGCCUAACAGUGUAAGCUUCAACACAAUAAACUGUGCUGGAGGGCUGGAGAGAUGGCUCAGUGGUUAAGAGCACCGACUGCUCUUCCAGAGGUCCUGAGUUCAAAUCCCAGCAACCACAUGGUGGCUCACAACCAUCUGUAAUGGGAUCUGAUGUCCCCUUCUGGUGUGUCUGAAGACAGCUACAGUGUACUCAUAUACAAAAUAAAUAAAUAAAUCUUUAAAAUAAAUAAAUAAAUAAAUAAAUAAA
rnacentral:lncRNA from 1 species